CAGUUUAGUCUGGGAGCAGAAAUAACCAACAUGCCCAUUAGACACAGGACGGAAUAAUGCUUCUAUUGGUUGGGUCCCUUCGAGAGAGAACCAUUCUCUGCUUUCAAUAGGACAGAAGAGCUCCUUGGCACUGCAUGCCUCCGGGUCUGGUUGAGAGAGGAAUGGCUAGGAGACUGUUCUGAGGAUACGCAGACAUCAUCCAAAGCUUCCUACAUUCAGAUGAGGACAGAGGUUGGGCCAGAGCAUGGCAUGCUUGUUACCUAAGGACGGUUCUGACCAUGUGAGCAAAUCACAGAAGCUGGAGUCAAAGGAUGUGAAAAUGGGAGAGCCGAGUAAUGGAAGGAUCCCAGAUUUCAGAGCCAUCACUUGGAGGAGGGGCACCCAGUGAAGGUAUCUAUCUAACCCACACCAUAUCUUCAUGAAGUGACCAUAUGGAUUUGAUCCCUAUCCUUCAGAGGUGCUCAGCCCAAGGGAACACGGGUAGUAGAUUAAGCACUGACCAGAGACAGCCUUAACAAUGGACUGAUGGCAACCUAGAACAUAAGUAGAGCCGUAUACAGGAUGGGAACUUGAUGGUCUGGGGGAAAUGGACAGCAUGACUCAGGUGAAAAAGAUUGAUCAUCAGAUGUUUCUUAUGAAUCAACCUGAUAUUUAAAUCCAUGAAGGGGAGAGAUGACAAAGCCAGGUGGAAUAGAUAGAGAAGAGGUCCAAGGUCUGAGCCCUACAUUACUCAGAGUGUUAGAGAUUAGGAAGAAGAGGAAGACCUGGCAAAAGAAUGUCCUGCGAUGUAGAAAGAAAACCAGAAGUUUGUGGUCUCUGGAAACCAAAUAAAGAAAGGGCUUCCAGAAGGACAGACAAAGUGUAGUGUAUCAAAGCUCCUGAGCAAUCAGAGGAGAGCACUGAGGGGCUCACAGGACAUUGGUAUCCAGAUCACCCAGUGACACUUCCUGAUCAUGAGAAACUGUCAGACCAACAGGGGCACUUUCUGUAACCAGCGGUUCUUCAUUGCCCAAAGGCAACCUUGAUGGUUUGAUUUUGGAGGAUGGCAAUUCAUUAAUAGCACUCUGCAGUGAUAAAUAUGAAAACCAAUAAAACUCCCCACCCAAGGCAACCUCUCCCAGCUCCUCACUUUGAGUGAAGUGAGUAACCUCCA